rnacentral:rRNA from 1 species
GACGAGGGGCCUAGCGUUGUUCGGAAUUACUGGGCGUAAAGCGGGUGUAGGCGGAUCUAUAAGUCAGGUGUGAAAUCCCGAAGCUCAACUUCGGAACUGCAUUUGAUACUGUAGAUCUUGAGUACUGGAGAGGAUAGCAGAAUUCCUGGUGUAGUGGUGAAAUACGUAGAUAUCAGGAGGAAUACCGGUGGCGAAGGCGGCUAUCGUGGCCAGAUACUG